UACGGAGGUGGCGAGCGUUGUCCGAAGUUACUGGGCGUAAAGCGCGCGUAGGCGGGGGAUUAAGUGAGAAGUGAAAGGCUGGGGCUCAACUCCAUGCAGUGCUUCUCAUACUGGUCUUCUUGAGGGGGGUAGAGAGAAGUGGAAUGGCUGGUGUAGCGGUGAAAUGCGCAGAUAUCAGGAGGAACACCGGUGGCGAAGGCGGUGUCCUGGGCCGAUCCUGACGCUGAGGAGCGAAAGCUGGGGGAGCAAACAGG
rnacentral:rRNA from 1 species